GUGGGGAAUCUUGCGCAAUGGGCGAAAGCCUGACGCAGCCAUGCCGCGUGAAUGAUGAAGGUCUUAGGAUUGUAAAAUUCUUUCACCGGGGACGAUAAUGACGGUACCCGGAGAAGAAGCCCCGGCUAACUUCGUGCCAGCAGCCGCGGUAAUACGAAGGGGGCUAGCGUUGCUCGGAAUUACUGGGCGUAAAGGGCGCGUAGGCGGACAGUUUAGUCAGAGGUGAAAGCCCAGGGCUCAACCUUGGAAUUGCCUUUGAGACUGGCUGUCUUGAGUACGAGAGAGGUGAGUGGAACUCCGAGUGUAGAGGUGAAAUUCGUAGAUAUUCGGAAGAACACCAGUGGCGAAGGCGACUCACUGGCCCGUUACUGACGCUGAGGCGCGAAAGCGUGGGGAGCAAACAGGAUUAGAUACCCUAGUAGUCC
rnacentral:rRNA from 1 species